UAGGGAAUCUUCCACAAUGGGCGAAAGCCUGAUGGAGCAACGCCGCGUGUGUGAUGAAGGGUUUCGGCUCGUAAAACACUGUUGUAAGAGAAGAAUGACAUUGAGAGUAACUGUUCAAUGUGUGACGGUAUCUUACCAGAAAGGAAUGGCUAAAUACGUGCCA
rnacentral:rRNA from 1 species